rnacentral:rRNA from 1 species
GCCAUGCCGCGUGCAGGAUGAAGGCCUUCGGGUUGUAAACUGCUUUUGUACGGAACGAAAAGCCUUUCUCGAAUAAAGAGAGGUCAUGACGGUACCGUAAGAAUAAGCACCGGCUAACUACGUGCCAGCAGCCGCGGUAAUACGUAGGGUGCAAGCGUUAAUCGGAAUUACUGGGCGUAAAGCGUGCGCAGGCGGUAAUGUAAGACAGAUGUGAAAUCCCCGGGCUCAACCUGGGAACUGCAUUUGUGACUGCAUUGCUGGAGUGCGGCAGACGGGGAUGGAAUUCCGCGUGUAGCAAUGAAAUGCGUAGAUAUGCGGAGGAACACCGAUGGCGAAGGCAAUCCCCUGGGCCUGCACUGACGCUCAUGCACGAAAGCGUGGGGAGCAAACAGGAUUAGAUACCCUGGUAGUCCACGCCCUAAACGAUGUCAACUGGUUGUUGGGUCUUCAUUGACUCAGUAACGAAGCUAACGCGUGAAGUUGACCGCCUGGGGAGUACGGCCGCAAGGUUGAAACUCAGAGGAAUUGACGGGGACCCGCACAAGCGGUGGAUGAUGUGGUUUAAUUCGAUGCGACGCGUAAAACCUUACCCACCUUUGACAUGUACGGAAUUUUCCAGAGAU